GAUGAACGCUGGCGGCGUGCCUAACACAUGCAAGUCGAGCGAUUCUCUUCGGAGAAGAGCGGCGGACGGGUGAGUAACGCGUGGGUAACCUGCCCUGUACACACGGAUAACAUACCGAAAGGUAUGCUAAUACGGGAUAACAUAAGAAAUUCGCAUGUUUUUCUUAUCAAAGCUCCGGCGGUACAGGAUGGACCCGCGUGGGAUUAGCUAGUUGGUGAGGUAACGGCUCACCAAGGCAACGAUCAGUAGCCGACAGGAGAGAGUGAUCGGCCACAUUGGAGCUGAGACACGGUCCAAACUCCGACGGGGGGCAGCAGUGGGGAAUAUUGGACAAUGGGCGAAAGCCUGAGGCAGCAAAGCCGCGUGAGCGAUGAAGGGCCUUCGGGUCGUAUAGCUCUGUCCUCAAGGAAGAUAAUGACGGUACUUGAGGAGGAAGCCCCGGCUAACUACGUGCCAGCAGCCGAGGUAA
rnacentral:rRNA from 1 species